AAGACUAUAGACCUGCGGAGUACCUGCGGAGGGAUCAUCAUUGAAUUCAUUUCUACCAACCCUGUGAACAACUGUGCGCGGGGUAGACACUCUGUCAGCCCCAUUUAUGCGCGCUGUUAAUACAAACUCAAAACAAACUGAAGCAAUUACUAUAUAUUUGUAACCAAAACAACUUUUAACAAUGGAUCUCU
rnacentral:misc_RNA from 1 species